rnacentral:tRNA from 3 species
UGCAAUGUAGUUUAUUUAAAAUAUUUAUUUUACACGUAAAUGUUCCCAGUUAUGGGCUUUGCUA